UACGUAGGGUGCAAGCGUUGUCCGGAAUUAUUGGGCGUAAAGAGCUCGUAGGCGGUUUGUCGCGUCUGCUGUGAAAACUCAGGGCUUAACCCUGAGCCUGCAGUGGGUACGGGCAGACUAGAGUGUGGUAGGGGGAGAUCGGAAUUCCUGGUGUAGCGGUGGAAUGCGCAGAUAUCAGGAGGAACACCGGUGGCGAAGGCG
rnacentral:rRNA from 1 species